rnacentral:rRNA from 1 species
GACGAACGCUGGCGGCGUGCUUAACACAUGCAAGUCGAACGGAAAGGCCCUGCUUUUGUGGGGUGCUCGAGUGGCGAACGGGUGAGUAACAAGUGAGUAACCUGCCCUUGACUUUGGGAUAACUUCAGGAAACUGGGGCUAAUACCGGAUAGGAGCUCCUGCUGCAUGGUGGGGGUUGGAAAGUUUCGGCGGUUGGGGAUGGACUCGCGGCUUAUCAGCUUGUUGGUGGGGUAGUGGCUUACCAAGGCUUUGACGGGUAGCCGGCCUGAGAGGGUGACCGGCCACAUUGGAACUGAGAUACGGCCCAGACUCCUACGGGAGGCAGCAGUGGGGAAUAUUGCACAAUGGGCGGAAGCCUGAUGCAGCAACGCCGCGUGCGGGAUGACGGCCUUCGGGUUGUAAACCGCUUUCGCCUGUGACGAAGCGUGAGUGACGGUAAUGGGUAAAGAAGCACCGGCUAACUACGUG